CGCUGGGGAUGCAAAGCCGCCAGCUGUCUUAGGAACCCGUACUGACAGUGCGGACAAACAGUGAGGAUUCUCACCUGACUGCGGGGGGCGCUGGAGGAGACCAGAUGGGCGGAGUGAGGAGCGGACAGGCAGGAGGCAGAAGCAGCUCAGCAGCAGAAAGUCACUGCUCGGAGAGUGUAAUCCAUAUGGAAGGGGAGAGCGGACGGCAGGUGAGACUUCGGGCAACGAACCGUGUCACGCGUUAGCGCUACUUCAGGUCCUACGUCAGCAUGUCCAUAGGUGUGCUUUUAAAAGUCCAACCUAGGUGAUCAGG